rnacentral:rRNA from 1 species
AAAACGACUCAUGGCAACGGAUAUCUCGGCUCUCGCAUCGAUGAAGAAUGUAGCAAAAUGCGAUACUUGGUGUGAAUUGUAGAAUCCUGUGAACCAUCGAGUUUUUGAAUGCAAGUUGCGCUCAAAGCCAUUAGACUAAGGGCACGUCUGCUUGGGCGUCACGC